rnacentral:tRNA from 1 species
CCUUUGAUAGCUCAGUUGGUAGAGCAGAGGACUAUAGAUCCUUAGGUUGCUGGUUUGAACCUGGCUCAUAGGA